UUAAUAGAAAGCGCAAUGGCUCUAUUUAUUUCUAAGUUAUUUAUGAAGAGAACCAUUGGGUCGGCAAUAAACAGUAAACAACCAGCGCGGAUGGCCUGGCUUGGUGGGUCCGGGGGCUGCGUUGAUGUUAUUUAGUGCGCAUAUAUUGGCUUCCCUGCUCUUCUGACGGGCCUGUGACCACACUGGCGGGGACUACGUGGCUUCAGAUAGCAGAAGCAAGGACGAAGAAGAAGAAAAAAAAAAAAGAAAGAAAACGAAAAGAAAAUUACAACAAGAGCAACAACAACAACAACAACAGCAAACAACAGCAGCAUCAAUAACAACAACAACAACAAACGACGUAAGAAUCAAUGUUCGUUGACAAAUCAAAACCACCGCAACCACCACUGACCACCACCACCACCACCACCAACAACAACAACAACAGCAACAGCAACAUCAAUAACACGACCACUAUGAAGAAGCAUUACAAAGAAAAAAAAAAGAUAAAAUAUAUAUAUUGGGAAAUUAAAUAAAAACAAACGACCGCCAUUAAACACUUACAACACACACACACACACACACACAC